rnacentral:rRNA from 1 species
AGCUCCAAUAGCGUAUAUUAAAGUUGUUGCAGUUAAAAAGCUCGUAGUUUGAUUUCUGGACGGGCGCCAACACCCGCUUGUUAGUGUGGAGGCGGCGCCCGCCCAUCCUUCUGUUAACGCCAUCGGCAUUCACUUGCUGGCGGCGGGCUCAGAUAUUUUACCUUGAGAAAAUUAGAGUGUUUCAGGCAGGCUUGCGCCUAGAUACAUUAGCAUGGAAUAAUAGAAUAGGACUUUGGCCUCUUCUGUUGGUCUGAGGGGUUAGAGUAAUGAUUAAUAGGGAUAGUUGGGGGCAUUAGUACUUAACUGCUAGAGGUGAAAUUCUCAGAUUUGUUAAAGACUAACUUAUGCGAAAGCAUUUGCCAAGGAUGUUUUCAUUA